GCAAACUUGGUCAUUUAGAGGAAGUAAAAGUCGUAACAAGGUUUCCGUAGGUGAACCUGCGGAAGGAUCAUUACAAAUCCACCGUCACCGUGUGUGAUGUGUGUCACAUGGACCCUGUUGAAUUGUACAAGUGGGGGGGGCGAAUCGCCUAUCACAUCUCAUCAUCCAAUGAAUGAGAAUGGGCGAUCGCGCCCCCCUCUUUUUCCUUUAUGGACUAUGGAUGGACAAGGAGAGGUGUGUGCGCGCCAUGUAGAUGCUGUCGCAGCAUAUGCGUGGUGUGGCCCCCUCGUUAAUCAUAUUGAUAACGGAUCACAUCACUUUUAACAAUGGAUCUCUUGGCUCUUGCAUCGAUGAAGAACGCAGC
rnacentral:misc_RNA from 1 species